CGGAGGGUGCAAGCGUUAUCCGGAUUUACUGGGUUUAAAGGGUGCGUAGGCGGGCCUUUAAGUCAGUGGUGAAAGCUCCGAGCUUAACUCGGAAACUGCCAUUGAUACUAUUGGUCUUGAAUUCGGUCGAGGUUGGCGGAAUGUGUCGUGUAGCGGUGAAAUGCUUAGAUAUGACACAGAACACCGAUUGCGAAGGCAGCUAGCUAGACCGACAUUGACGCUGAGGCACGAAAGCGUGGGGAUCAAACAGGAUUAGAAACCCUGGUAGUCCACGCCCUAAACUAUGAUUACUCGAUGUUGGCGAUACACUGCCAGCGUCUAAGCGAAAGCAUUAAGUAAUCCACCUGGGGAGUACGAUCGCAAGAUUG
rnacentral:rRNA from 1 species